UCCCCUUUAGCUCAGAUGGUAGAGCACUUGGCUGUUAACCAAGGUGUCGUUGGUUCGAACCCAACAGGGGGAGCCA
rnacentral:tRNA from 1 species